CGCGUAGGGAUCUACCUUCUGGAGGGGGAUAGCCCGGAGAAAUCCGGAUUAAUACCGCAUAAGACCUAAGGGUGAAAAGGGGCCAAUUCUUGAAAGCUCUUGCCGGAAGAUGAACCUGCGUUAGAUUAGCUAGUUGGUGGGGUAAUGGCCUACCAAGGCGACGAUCUAUAGCUGGUCUGAGAGGAUGAUCAGCCACACUGGAACUGAGACACGGUCCAGACUCCUACGGGAGGCAGCAGUGGGGAAUAUUGGACAAUGGGCGCAAGCCUGAUCCAGCAAUACCGCGUGUGUGAAGAAGGC
rnacentral:rRNA from 1 species